rnacentral:rRNA from 1 species
UAGUCCACGCCGUAAACGAUGAUCACUCGAUGCUGGCAAUACACGGUCAGUGUCCAAGCGAAAGCGUUAAGUGAUCCACCUGGGGAGUACGAUCGCAAGGUUGAAACUCAAAGGAAUUGACGGGGGCCCGCACAAGCGGUGGAGCAUGUGGUUUAAUUCGAUGAUACGCGAGGAACCUUACCAAGGCUUAAAUGUAGAAUGAUUUUCUGGGAAACCAGAUUUCCCUUCGGGGCAGUCUGCAAGGUGCUGCAUGGUUGUCGUCAGCUCGUGCCGUGAGGUGUCGGGUUAAGUCCCAUAACGAGCGCAACCCCUAUCUUUAGUUGCCAUCAGGUCAUGCUGGGGACUCUAAAGAAACAGCCGGCGCAAGCCGCGAGGAAGGUGGGGAUGACGUCAAAUCAUCACGGCCCUUACGUCUUGGGCUACACACGUGCUACAAUGGUCGGUACAGAGGGACGCUACCUGGUGACAGGAUGCAAAUCUCGAAAGCCGGUCUCAGUUCGG